UACGGAGGGGGCGAGCGUUGUUCGGAAUUACUGGGCGUAAAGCGCGCGUAGGCGGCUUUGUAAGUUAGAGGUGAAAGCCCGGAGCUCAACUCCGGAAUUGCCUUUAAGACUGCAUCGCUUGAAUCAUGGAGAGGUGAGUGGAAUUCCGAGUGUAGAGGUGAAAUUCGUAGAUAUUCGGAAGAACACCAGUGGCGAAGGCGACUCACUGGACAUGUAUUGACGCUGAGGUGCGAAAGCGUGGGGAGCAAACAGG
rnacentral:rRNA from 1 species